rnacentral:lncRNA from 1 species
AUGGGCUUUGGAGGAGAAAGACUGGCGGGUAUUGCGGAAGGAGGACACGGCCAUCAGGGCCCGGGAAGGUGGAAACCAUUCGCGGGUUUGGAGGAGGACGUCGGGCCCAUUAGUGGGUUGGAGUGAAAGAGCGAGACAGGACAUCUGGGUUUGAUUGAUCUUUGNGCGGGUUUGGAGGAGGACGUCGGGCCCAUUAGUGGGUUGGAGUGAAAGAGCGAGACAGGACAUCUGGGUUUGAUUGAUCUUUGCUUCAAAUGCUCAGAUCUGGAUUUUUCCUUUGGCCGGCGGCGGUGGAGAAUUUGAU